rnacentral:rRNA from 1 species
UUGGAGGGCAAGUCUGGUGCCAGCAGCCGCGGUAAUUCCAGCUCCAAUAGCGUAUAUUAAAGUUGUUGUGGUUAAAAAGCUCGUAGUUGAACCUUGGGCCUGGCUGGCCGGUCCGCCUCACCGCGUGUACUGGUCCGGCCGGGCCUUUCCCUCUGUGGAACCCCAUGCCCUUCACUGGGUGUGGCGGGGAAACAGGACUUUUACNGUGAAAAAAUUGAGUGCUCCAGGCAGGCCUAUGCCUACGAACUACUAUUAGCUAGUAGGAAAUAAGUAAGAAGUA